rnacentral:tRNA from 2 species
CUUGUAGCUCAGCUGGAUAGAGUGUCAGACUCCGACUCUGAAGGUCACAGGUUCGAAUCCUGCCAGGC